rnacentral:rRNA from 1 species
AGGAAUCCCCUAGUACUGCGAGUGAGCGGGAAAGCUCAAAUUUAAAAUCUGGGGGUCCCUGUGGCCCUCCGAGUUGUAAUCUAGAGAAGUGCUAUCCGCGCUGGACCGUGUACAAGUCUCCUGGAACGGAGCGUCAUAGAGGGUGAGAAUCCCGUCUUUGACACGGACUACCAGGGCUUAUGUGAUGUGCUCUCAAAGAGUCGAGUUGUUUGGGAAUGCAGCUCUAAAUGGGUGGUAAAUUCCAUCUAAAGUUAAAUAUUGGCCAGAGACCGAUAGCGAACAAGUACCGUGAGGGAAAGAUGAAAAGAACUUUGGAAAGAGAGUUAAACAGUACGUGAAAUUGUUGAAAGGGAAACGCUUGAAGUCAGUCGCGUUGCCCAGAAAUCAACCUUGCUUUUGCUUGGUGUACUUUCUGGUUAACGGGUCAGCAUAAAUUUUGACCGGUGGAUAAAGGUCAGGGGAAUGUGGCAUCUUCGGAUGUGUUAUAGCCCUUGGUUGCAUACAUCGAUUGGGAUUGAGGAACUCAGCAUGCCGCAAGGAAGGGUUUUUAACCACGUUACAUGCUUAGGAUGCUGGCAUAAUGGCUUUAAUCGACCCGUCUUGAAAC